UCAAAAGCAGUGAGUGAUUUUCUAUUUGUCUUUUGUUCUUUGAUUUACGUUAAUGACAGACAUCAUAACAGCAGGUUUAUUAGGCUGCUGUCACUUUAAGACUGGCCGCACAUGACAAUGAUCUUUAUGGUCACUCAAGACUUUAUAACCGUGCUUGUAUUUUAAUGCAUUGUGUUUUCAGGGCUUGCAUUUUUAUGGGCUGAAAUUCAACAUGGUUGCAUAUUUAAGCUGUGAAUAUUUCAAGUCAAAACAUUCACACAUUUUCAUUGUUAAAAAUUCAAUGGAGUGCAGUGAAAGGGAGUGAAUGACUGCUAAUAUUAAACAAACAAAUCUGCUUCAGACAUAAGAAUGUAAAUAUUAAGUUUAAUUGCUUAUGUGACAGAACAGUGGACCGGUUACUGCAUCAGCUCACAUCAGGCACAUACUGUGCAGUAAUUAGUGUGCGUUUUGUAGAGAAAUGAAAAUAGGUCACACCUCAACUAUUAUUUGCACUUGCACAAAUGCUCCCAAAUCUAUUUUAAGAUCGCAAACAUGAAAUUUAGGGAGCAUAUGCAACUAAAAUGGUCGCAAUUUCGAGCUUUGAUGUAACUCGAUUCACUCGAAUAUACAUCACAAAAGGGAAGAAAAGACUUUCACAACUUCUGUUUCAUGUCAAAGGGUCUGAUGUCACGUGUUUUUGUUUUCACACAUUGAUCACAAGUUUGUUUGUCACUGGCUUUCCAAAGAAGACGAGUGCUGACUACAUCUACAACAAACCAGGAACAAGAUCAUUUAGUGUUUGACGGUUAAAGAGCAGAAAUGUCUGAUAAUAUUUAUGAAGUGAUCAGGACUGAGUCUGAGGGAAUGAACACAGACAGAAUGGAGAUGAUAGUGGAAAUCUAUGAGAGUGCAGAAUGUGUGAGAGAUUAUGACUUCAGGACAGAGACAAACACACACCAACCACUUCAGCGUACAGCCUGUGUGUUUCAGUUAGGAUGGUCAGUUCGUUUCGUCCGAUGCCUAACUGUACAAGAUCUGACACUGACGUUGUUUUUCCUGAGACCUGAAGCCUUUCAGUGUGAGGCAUGAUGCCUUUUCAUCAUAUGACUGAAGUCUGAAGAUGUCCUAAAAUGUACACCGUACCUGAGGCCUUCAUGACAAUGUUCAUGAGAAUGCUGCUCUAUCUUUGUGUUGGUGUAGAAACAGAGAAACCACAGACUUGACUUUACUGCCUUUAUGACACCAAAUUUGUAUCACUGAUUGUACAUAAACUCAUUGAAGCAUCAUUCUGUGUCUCAUUAUGUCAAUAAAGUUCAAAAUCUUUA